UUUUUUUUUUUUUUAAUUUUAAAGUCAUAUUUUAAUAACAAGUUGAAAAUAUGACAUGACCUUAUUUUUUCCCUCAAUUAUCAAAAACAACUACUGUAUUUGUUCUCUCCUCAAGGACCUCUUGCCUUUUGGGUACUUACAAUUCAAACUUCAUCGGUUCUUCUUUCCAUGAGGGAAGAAAGAGAUUUGUUACUGGGCAUCUUACUCUUCUUCCUUUUUCUACUCUAAUCAAGUGUUUCGAUUCCACUUUGUUGUUUCUUUCAUUCAUUUUCCUUUCUUGGUUGCAUAUUUCUCAUCUUUAAGGCGACAAUUCUGAACUUAUAUAUAGAAAAUCAGAAGGCAGUUAGGCAAGUUACAUCUUCUUUUUCUUCUUCUGAGUCCAAUUUUUUACUAGUUUUUUUCUCAGAUCCAAUAGCUUUUGUAUUUUAGUGGAUUUUGUGGUCUCUCUGAUUACUUGUGUCUGUUUACUAAUGGAAAUGCAGAACAAAUUUGGAUAAUCAAUC
rnacentral:lncRNA from 1 species